CUUUCAACAACGGAUCUCUUGGUUCCGGCAUCGAUGAAGAACGCAGCGAAAUGCGAUACGUAAUGUGAAUUGCAAAUUCAGUGAAUCAUCGAGUCUUUGAACGCACAUUGCGCCCCCUGGUAUUCCGGGGGGCAUGCCUGUCCGAGCGUCAUUGCUGC
rnacentral:rRNA from 1 species